GAAUUCACAAAGGAGUGCCAUCGGCUGAGAUCGCAUUUGCGAAAUCCUGAUAACCUGAUCUCGUUAGGACGAGCGUAGGGAUUGUGAUAUGACUUUUU
rnacentral:ncRNA from 2 species